UCUCUCAAGUCUGAUUGUCUCAUCUAAUUUCUGAAAACCCAAACCUCCUUAAAACCUUCAACCCAGUCUCUGCGACGAUCGACGGCAGCGGCACGACGACCUCGUCUCGUUCUCGCAACGUCACUCUGUCAGUCACUCAAUCUCGCUUUUGGUGGUGGAGCAGAAGAAAGAAAAUAAAAAAAUAAGAAGGGGUCGGGAAAGAGAGGAGAAAGAAGAGAAUAGAGGGAUGUUGAGAAAGAUAGAGAAGAAAAGAAGAAGAAAUAGGAAGAGGGAAGAAGAAGAUGUUUAUCUUCCGGAGGGUUGCUUUCUAAGGGAGAGGAGAUCAUAAACGAGAGAGAAGGAGAGAGACGAGUUUGUUUGAAGUUAAAAGGCAAGAACAUGGUGUUGGGUUCAGUUUCUUUUUGUUGAAGCUUGUAGGAGAAACAUCAAGUUCAAUGGUUCAAUUGCAUGUUCAAAGGUGGAAUCACAUCUUGGUGAUGUUUGUGUGCAUAUAUAUGUUAAUUCCUUGAUGGUCAUUGCUUUCUUUUUUC